GAAGUCGGAUGCUUAACCAACUGAGCCACCCAGCCAUAUUGCUUGCCACUAGAGAAACAAUAGUUUCAGAAUAUUUUCCAAAGGACGCAAAUGAUUACAUGGCCCUCUUCUUAUUGGCCAGUGUAAUCUCAGCUAUGAAAGCUUUUCUAGAGAGAGCAUGAGCGGCGAAGAGCAGGAGAGAGAGA